AAUCUUACAGCGAGAGAUAUUCAGCAACAGUACUUUGUAGUAAAGAUUGUUUGCCAACAUAACAUGGCAGUCCUAGUUUAGGACGGAUGUUGCUGUAAUUUAGCCCCAGGAGACAUCGUCUCCAGCUUGCUAUAUGACACGAUCUAUGUCCUUAUAUUUUCAAAAAAA